rnacentral:tRNA from 1 species
UGGGGUGCAGUUCAGUGGUAGAGCACUUGCCUAGCAUGUAUGAAGUCUUGGGUUCAAUCCCUAACACAUUAA